GACGGCCCCUGACCGUCACAAUUGUCAAACGGUCCAUUCAUUACUGACGGCCUGCAGCCGUCGUAAUGUGUCACACCUUUUCCGUCUUUCAAGAAGCAUUACCGACGGCCCUUGACCGCCACAAAUGCUCAUUUUGACCGUUUUGAAUUUUUACGUCCUCCAAGAUGCAUUACUGACGGCCAUUAUACAUUAUUGACGGCUGGGAGCCUUCAAUAACUCACAAAUACAUUACUGAGGGCCUUUAGCCCUCAAUAAGUUUGGUCAAGAAUAACAUGUUUUCUUGUAGUGUGUGUGUGUGUAUUUAGUGUAGGAUAUUUGUUUGUUGAAAAUGCUAUUGUGGUGCAUAAUUGUAUGCCUAUGUGUAAGUCGUUUGAGUUCUGUUUAGUGUAGAUUCAAGUGUGAAUUGUGAAACUAGUAAUGAAUUUAAAAUUAUAACUGUGAAGUGUAAAUGUUGAAGUUCUUCAAUACUAGUUUCAUUUUGUUUUGCUAGUUCUCAGUGUUUUAUUCUUAUUUUUCAGUUCUUUCAUAUGUGAGGAGAUCAUAUACUGGUGAUAUUUACCACGUCUUUAAAAAAAUCAUACAGGUACCAAGCUACCAAGCUUACUUUGCACAUGUAACUUAUUUUAUGGUAAAACUUGUAUGUAUCUGCAAUUGUAAAUGAUUCAGGAAGAUAAUAGGUAUGCCUCAAAUCACACAUUGGGAAUGGAUCUGCCACUCUUAGGUAAACAACAAGUCAGACUGGGGCCAUGUCAGUGAUGCCAUAGUUGUUUAGCUAAGGUAGUUUGAGGCCUUCCUUUUUCAAUGAAGUGGGUGGUUCUCAUCAAGUGAUAAGUCGUAGAAGAAAGUAGGGCUAGAGUUUGACAAUAUCUUUUGUAUUGGUCUUUGUGUUUGUACUAAAAUUUGUCAUUGAUUUUCUCAUAAGAAAGUAUGGCCAAAGUUUGACAAUAUCUCUUUUGUAGUGGUCUUUGUGUGUGUACUAUUCAAUUCGGAUUUGUCUCGUAGUCGGCUUCGUAUUGUUUAUGAAAUGAAUGUAU